CCUACGGGAGACAGCAGUGAGGAAUAUUGCUCAAUGGGCGCGAGCCUGAACCAGCCAAGUAGCGUGAAGGAUGACUGCCCUCCGGGUUGUAAACUUCUUUUAUAGAGGAAUAAAGUGAGGCACGUGUGCCUUUUUGUAUGGACUUUAUCAAUAAGGAUCGGCUAACUCCGCGCCAGCAGCCGCGGUAAUACGGAGGGUCCGAGCGUUAUCCGGACUUAUUGGGUUUAAAGGGAGCGUCGAUGGGUCGUUAAGUCAGUUGUGAAAGUUUGCGGAGCAACCGGCCAAUUGCAAUUGAAACUGGGGGGCUGGAGUGCAGGUGAGGUAGGUGGAAUUCGAGGUGUAGCGGUGAAAUGCGUAGAUAUCACGAAGAACUCCGAUUGCGAAGGCGGCUUACUGAACUGCAACUGACAUUGAGGCUCGAAAGUGUGGGUAUCAAACAGGAUUAGAUACCCUAGUAGUC
rnacentral:rRNA from 1 species